GACGAACGCUGGCGGCGUGCUUAACACAUGCAAGUGGAGCGACGAACCAGGCUUCGGCCUGGGGCAAAGCCGCGAACGGGUGAGUAACACGUGGGUAACCUGCCCCGAUGACCGGGACAACUCGAGGAAACUCGAGCUAAUACCGGAUGUGCUGUCCUCACAUCAGUGAGGAUUGAAAAGGGAGCUUCGGCCUCCGCAUCGGGAUGGGCCCGCGGCCCAUUAGCUUGUUGGUGAGGUAACGGCUCACCAAGGCUGCGAUGGGUAGCUGGUCUGAGAGGACGAUCAGCCACACUGGGACUGAGACACGGCCCAGACUCCUACGGGAGGCAGCAGUGGGGAAUCUUGCGCAAUGGGCGAAAGCCUGACGCAGCGACGCCGCGUGCGGGAAGAAGGCCUUCGGGUUGUAAACCGCUUUCAGGAGGGACGAAGCCACUCGGGUUAAUAGCCCAGAGGGUGACGGUACCUCCAGAAGAAGCCCCGGCUAACUACGUGCCAGCAGCCGCCGUAAAAC
rnacentral:rRNA from 1 species